UUGAUGCCUUGGCAGGCACAUCUAUUUAAUGGCUAGUGGGAAGAUAUUGGGACCCUUAAAUCCUUUUUUGAUGCUAAAUUGGCUCUCACAUAUUAGCCUCCCAAGUUUCAAUUUUAUGAUCUGCUGAAGCCAAUCUUCACGUCUCCUAGGUUUCUACCACCAACGAAGAUAGAAAAAUGCCAGAUUUUGGACUCCAUAAUUUCACAUGGAUGCGUCUUAAGGGAAUGCAGUGUUGAACAUUCCAUAGUUGAGACACGCUCAAGACUGAAGUAUGGGUCUGAACUGAAGGUGGAAUGAGAGGUCUCCUAUAAUGGGUUUAGGAUAGAUGAAUUUAUCCCUCAGAAAACAUCAGCAUACAUUAGCCAACAUGACUUGCACUUUUGCACAUAUUCCAAGACUGAAUUUUUAAAAUUUUAUUUUACAUGUCAUGUGAUGGAAGAGCUCCUGAAGGAACUCAAGAAAGGAGAGAAAAAGGCCAGAAUAGUUGCUGACUUUGAUUUGGAUGCAUACAUGAAUGUGGUCUACUGUUUGCUUCCUUUUAUUCUAGAGCUGGUUAAAAAGUUAGUUUCUAUUGGCAAUGAUUAAACGCUACAGUUAAUUUUCACAGGCAAUAACAGUCGAUUCCAGCUCAAAAUGAGAAUGGUGCGUAAUUAUCCAUCCAAGCUCAAAAUUAAUUGAUUCACGUUAGUAUGAUUUAU